AUCUGCUUCUGAAUUUGGAGCUUAUGGAAAUACAGAACACAACAGAGAGAGAAUGAGAUAAAACAUCACCCUUAUCACUGAUAAAUAUAGUUACAGGGAGAGUACUGCUUUGUGUCAUCCAGCAAUUGGGCUCAACUACAUGCAUCAGAUCACAGGUACACAGAGAGCCACAGGUCUUGCUGCGGAGUGAAGAAACAACAAAAAGAUUGGCUUUGAGACAGGGGAGCACAAGGAGGUCCUCAGCAAAGGAUGCUGCUGUUCAACUCACCAGUCGGCCCACUGAACAUGAUGGGAAGAAGAAAAUGCAGUUCUGAUUUUACACUUCAAGGGACUUUGCAAACUUUGGGCUCCCUUUCAUGGAAGUCAUAGCACAAGCCUGGGCUCAUCUCC
rnacentral:lncRNA from 1 species